CCAGACUCCUACGGGAGGCAGCAGUGAGGAAUAUUGGUCAAUGGCCGGAAGGCUGAACCAGCCAAGCCGCGUGAGGGAGGAAGGCGCAGAGCGUCGCAGACCUCUUUUGCCGGGGGACAAAAGGCCGGACUCGUCCGGUCCUGAGGGUACCCGGAGAAAAAGCAUCGGCUAACUCCGUGCCAGCAGCCGCGGUAAUACGGAGGAUGCGAGCGUUAUCCGGAUUCAUUGGGUUUAAAGGGUGCGUAGGCGGGCUGUGAAGUCAGCGGUCAAAUGUCGGGGCUCAACCCCGGCCUGCCGUUGAAACUGGCGGCCUCGAGUGGGCGAGAAGUAUGCGGAAUGCGUGGUGUAGCGGUGAAAUGCAUAGAUAUCACGCAGAACCCCGAUUGCGAAGGCAGCCUUCCGGCGCCCUACUGACGCUGAGGCACGAAAGUGCGGGGAUCGAACAGGAUUAGAUACCCCUGUA
rnacentral:rRNA from 1 species